rnacentral:pre_miRNA from 1 species
AAGGAGGAUUUUUGGAAUUCCACAGUUGAUUGACAGGUCUGGAAUUCCAAAAACCCUCCUUUG